GCCCCUCUCCUGCGACCUGGUCGCGGGAAAACAAACUAGCACCGCUCCCCGGGCCGAGGCCAUUCCCCCGCCCCCACCGCCGGAAGAGCUGCCCUUCCCCGAUGGGAGGGGGGCGGGAAACUUUGCGAGACGACUGUUCCGCGCCUUUCUCGCGUGGCGUCGGAGAGGAACUUGGGUGGGUUUCCCGUCCGAGGCCUGACCACACCCUCCCACUUUUCUAGGCCUCGGACCUCAACCUCGUGGACUACGGAGCGGAGAGGGACACUUCGGGCCACUCGGAGGGUGGCACCGAAGUCAGGCGUCCCCAAGGGCUCUGGCGGAUGGCCAAGUUUGUGUUCUUUCCAUCCCACGCCGGAGUAGCGCUCGCUACUUUGGGGAAGCUUCAGACUCCUCAACCCCGGCCACGAGGCCACCCCUGUCUUUAAGACCACAUAAGGAACACCCUGAUCCGUGCAUCUGUGCAGCUUGUUCCAGAGUCCCAGCCCUCACCAGCUGUGAGGUCACAUCUCUUGGAAGGCAGUCAUCUACCUCAACCAACAGCUCCGAGAUGCUGGGCAGCGGGACCAUAUCUGCCAUUUGGAGAGCUGCUGCUGGUGCUCUGGGCUGUCCUGCUCCUUCCGGUAGCCAAAGAGAGGAUGCGAUUUUUAAAAAUUCAUAUAUUCAGAUGAAGAAAAUGAAGAUCAGGGCGGCUACGUCACUCGACCAGGAUCGUGCAGCCAGCAAGUUGGGUGCCAGGACUCAAAGCAGGUCUUUCAUGAGAAGAACUCUUGUUUUUUUCUUUUGUCUCUUCCACUCCCUCCCUCUCUGUCCUCACCCCACCAUCCUCUAUCCCGGAGGUUCUCGACUUGGCCGUAUAUUGACAUCACCUGGGGAGCUUUAAAAAAUAAUAUUGCUGUUAGGCCUCCACCCUAGGAAACUGAAUCUCCAGGGUGUGACUUCAGCAUCUGUACUUUUUAUUCCCUCUUCACAGGCAGCCU